rnacentral:pre_miRNA from 1 species
UAUUAAAAUUUUUAUCUAUUUCCACGGUUAAAAAUUGGCAUAACUGACGAAAUAACCAAACAGUUGCAUGUGACAUGCCACUUGUACCUCAUGUUGACAUAUAGGGAUCAAUUUUUAAUAAUAAAAAUUGAUAAAAAAAUUUAAUA